UCAUUUGUUGCUUAUUAACAGAUCCUGGUGCUCACUGUUGACGGGUGUUUUGCCGGAGCUUGUUACUCGCCUGGUGGUCUCUGGUUUCUCACGAGCUCGCUGGAGUUGUAGAGCUCAGCGAAUCUGGUUGUUCGAGCUCCGCUGGAGAUGUGAAAUGGGUCUGGUUUGGGGUCUGUUCGGAGCUACUGAUUUGAGGAAGUUCACCGGAGACGAGGGUGGUUUGGUAUAGCUCGUUGUGAGCUUUGUUUGUUGGAGAAAACGAGUGUAAUGGGUUUACAGUAGGAAAUGGGUUCAGUUGGCUGUGGAGGUUGAAGCUCGCUAGAGAUGUGCAGCGAGAAAAAAAAUCGUGAAAGGGGAGAGGGGAAGGGAAGCAGCAAGCUCCGGUGGU
rnacentral:lncRNA from 1 species